GACGAACCGUACGAACGUUAUUCGGAAUUACUGGGCUUAAAGGGUGCGUAGGCGGCCCUGUAAGUUGGAUGUGAAAUCCCACGGCUCAACCGUGGAACUGCGUUCAAAACUACAGGGCUUGAGGGAGAUAGAGGUGAGCGGAACUUAAGGUGGAGCGGUGAUAUGCGUUGAUAUCUUAAGGAACACCCGUGGCGAAAGCGGCUCACUGGAUCUUUUCUGACGCUGAGGCACGAAAGCUAGGGUAGCGAACGGG
rnacentral:misc_RNA from 1 species